CCCACACACUUGCACUCAUUUCUCCUUCUUUCCUUUCUUUUCAUUUAACUCUCUCUUCUGUAAACCCAGCGAGCCUUACCUCGCUUUCUCCCUCAGCUCUGUACACGCUGCACGGAAGGUGCAGCAGCACCAAUCCAAUAUCACCAUCGCCGCUCCAGCGAGCUCAACAGGAAUUGCUAAACCACACCAGACCACCAUGUCAUAUAUAUAUAUAUAUAUAUAUAUAUAUAUCUCUCUCUCUCUCUCUGGCACUCUCCCCUCUCUAUGAAAUCAUCAGUGCCACCUCGCCUCACCGACUCUGACGACGUCGUCGAUUCCACUCUUUUCCGUGAACCAGCACCAUCAUCAUCACUUCAUUCAUUUUCUCAAACCCAGGCCAAAACCCUUAAAUUUCGACAGUGACAGAGACCAAUGUACACUAAACCUCCGACGAACCACUGGUGAGUUUCGAUAAUUCCGAGCAAGAAACCAUCUCGGGGGAAAAUUUUCCCAAAUUCCGACGAAGGACCCGCGGGGUUACAGGUAUUUCCCGGCUAACUCCAGCCACGGCUCAGCCCCAAUUAGGAUUUUAGUGGCAGAGGUUUUGUGACGAUGAGAAUUGCUUGUAAAAGCUAUCAUGUAGAAGACUUCUCCUUUCGAGACCAAAGCUACAAUUUGCCAUUCAGGAGCCAUAGAUUAUAUUACUUGUGCCAUGAGACCUUGAGAAUGGAAGAGCUGCACCAGCAACAAGACCAAGUGAACAGAAGUCUGACCCAGUUAAGGGUAAUUUAGAGAACUGCAGUAACAGAAAGCAAUUAGCCAAAUAUGCUUAUGCACUGGUGCGGGUUCGACAAUAAGGGUACGUAAUUUGCAAAACCAAAUAAGGGUAAUUUGGGGCUUUUAAAUAUUCAUGAAAGUAUCACAGGUUACGCACCCGCUUUUUCGUAAACACGGAAUUGAAAUUAUGAUUUUUUAUACUCAUUCCUUUACACUAAGGUAGGGAUGGACUCGAAAAACCGAAAAAGAAAACGAACCAAUUGAAAACCGAAACUAAGAAAACCAAAACCGAACACAAAACUAUUAGUUCAGUUUCGUUUUUGGUGGUUCGAAAACUAAACCGAGUUUGGUAUUCAUUUUCAAGUCCAAUUUCAAGUCAACUAUUAGCUUGAUUUCUCAAAUGUUAGGUAAACCCAACUUAAAAUGUUGAAAGUCUAGUUCAUAAUAUAUUUAUUUCUUCAUUUUCUCUCCAUUUUCUAGGCUAACAAAACAAAAGAAAAAAAAACAAGAACCGAACCUGACGAAACCAAAAUAAUUCGGUUUCUUCUUUAUUAAUUGCAAAAACUGAACUGAAAUGAAUAUUAAUUUCAGUAAAAAGGUCGUACCCAGUGCACAAGGCUCCCACUUUACGCAGGGUCUGGGAGAGGUGAAUAUUAAUUUCAGUGUUGCAAAAAAAUUGAAAAGAAUAAAACUGAACCUAGAAUGCCCAAGAUCUUUAAACCAUACUCACAAUUAGAAAUAAACCUGGUAUAGAUUUUGGCUCAGCUUAGAAAUGCGAUUGAUCUCAUUCUCAACCUUGAAAGUGAGACCUGUUUGAUCUGUUCAGAGCUCUACAUUGACGGAAAUUUGUUGUGUGUGUGAUCAAAACAACAUCAUGUACCAUCAUAAGAUAUUAUUAUAAUAUGAAUAGACGACAUAUCAUAGCACAUAACAAGUGCAUAGCUUAUCUCUACUUUCUUUUCCUAUGUGUGGGUUCGAUAGGUGUAUCAUGACAUUUUUUUUAUUCAUCGAUAUUUACACGAAGGGAUGGGGAGAAUAAAUUAGUUGCGAACUCAACAUAACAAAGAUUGAAACUUAAGACUGUUGAAUUUUUGAUGUGUAUUUCAUAUCAAAACAAUUACAAGAUGAAACAUUAUAUAGGAAAAGAAAGAGAACAUAAGCCUAACUUGCCUAACUUGCCUAACUUGCCUAAUUUCCUAACUUGCC